GAUGAACGCUGGCGGCGUGCCUAAUACAUGCAAGUCGAGCGAACAGACGAGGAGCUUGCUCCUCUGACGUUAGCGGCGGACGGGUGAGUAACACGUGGAUAACCUACCUAUAAGACUGGGAUAACUUCGGGAAACCGGAGCUAAUACCGGAUAAUAUAUUGAACCGCAUGGUUCAAUAGUGAAAGACGGUUUUGCUGUCACUUAUAGAUGGAUCCGCGCCGCAUUAGCUAGUUGGUAAGGCAACGGCUUACCAAGGCAACGAUGCGUAGCCGACCUGAGAGGGUGAUCGGCCACACUGGAACUGAGACACGGUCCAGACUCCUACAGGAGGCAGCAGUAGGGAAUCUUCCGCAAUGGGCGAAAGCCUGACGGAGCAACGCCGCGUGAGUGAUGAAGGUCUUCGGAUCGUAAAACUCUGUUAUUAGGGAAGAACAAAUGUGUAAGUAACUAUGCACGUCUUGACGGUACCUAAUCAGAAAGCCACGGCUAACUACGUG
rnacentral:rRNA from 1 species